ACCGAGCGGAUGAGUUGCGAACGGGUGAGUAACGCGUAGGUAACCUGCCUGGUAGCGGGGGAUAACUAUUGGAAACGAUAGCUAAUACCGCAUAACAGUCGACAUUGCAUGAUGUUGAUUUGAAAGGGGCAAUUGCUCCAUUACCAGAUGGACCUGCGUUGUAUUAGCUAGUUGGUGAGGUAACGGCUCACCAAGGCGACGAUACAUAGCCGACCUGAGAGGGUGAUCGGCCACAUUGGGACUGAGACACGGCCCAGACUCC
rnacentral:rRNA from 1 species